rnacentral:rRNA from 1 species
CCUACGGGAGGCAGCAGUAGGGAAUCUUCCGCAAUGGACGAAAGUCUGACGGAGCAACGCCGCGUGAGCGAUGAAGGCCUUCGGGUCGUAAAGCUCUGUUGUUAGGGAGGAACAAGUGCUAGUUGAAUAAGCUGGCACCUUGACGGUACCUAACCAGAAAGCCACGGCUAACUACGUGCCAGCAGCCGCGGUAAUACGUAGGUGGCAAGCGUUGUCCGGAAUUAUUGGGCGUAAAGCGCGCGCAGGCGGUUUCUUAAGUCUGAUGUGAAAGCCCCCGGCUCAACCGGGGAGGGUCAUUGGAAACUGGGGGACUUGAGUGCAGAAGAGGAGAGUGGAAUUCCACGUGUAGCGGUGAAAUGCGUAGAGAUGUGGAGGAACACCAGUGGCGAAGGCGACUCUCUGGUCUGUAACUGACGCUGAGGCGCGAAAGCGUGGGGAGCAAACAGGAUUAGAUACCCUGGUAGUCCACGCCGUAAACGAUGAGUGCUAAGUGUUAGAGGGUUUCCGCCCUUUAGUGCUGCAGCUAACGCAUUAAGCACUCCGCCUGGGGAGUACGGCCGCAAGGCUGAAACUCAAAGGAAUUGACGG